CACUCUAGAGAGACUGCCAGGGAUAACCUGGAGGAAGGUGGGGAUGACGUCAAAUCAUCAUGCCCCUUAUGCUUAGGGCUACACACGUGCUACAAUGGGUAGUACAGAGGGUUGCCAAGCCGUAAGGUGGAGCUAAUCCCUUAAAGCUACUCUCAGUUCGGAUUGUAGGCUGAAACUCGCCUACAUGAAGCUGGAGUUACUAGUAAUCGCAGAUCAGAAGGCUGCGGGUAAUGCGUUCCCGGGUCUUGUACACACCGCCCGUCACACCACGGGAGUUGGAGACGCCCGAAGCCGAUUAUCUAACCUUUUGGAAGAAGUCGUCGAAGGUGGAAUUAAUAACUGGGGUGAAGUCGUAACAAGGUAGCCGUAUCGGAAGGUGCGGCUGGAUCACCUCCUUUCUAAGGAGA
rnacentral:rRNA from 1 species